rnacentral:rRNA from 1 species
CAGCAGCCGCGGGAAUACGAAGGGGGCUAGCGUUGUUCGGAAUCACUGGGCGUAAAGCGCACGUAGGCGGAUACUUAAGUCAGGGGUGAAAUCCCGGGGCUCAACCUCGGAACUGCCUUUGAUACUGGGUAUCUUGAGUCCGGGAGAGGUUGGUGGAACUCCGAGUGUAGAGGUGAAAUUCGUAGAUAUUCGGAAGAACACCAGUGGCGGAGGCGGCCAACUGGCCCGGUACUGACGCUGAGGUGCGAAAGCGUGGGGAGCGAACAGGAUUAGAUACCCCCGUAGUCCCUGUCUCUUUACC